UGGACCUGAACAUAAGAGAUGCGAAGA
rnacentral:piRNA from 2 species